rnacentral:misc_RNA from 1 species
GAAAGCUGGAUGCGGGAAAACUGCACGUCCAGUUUGUGCGGCGGACGGAGGCCAGCGCAAGAGCAAUCGAGCGCGCC